GGUGGCUCCAAUGACCAACGUGGGUGCACGAAAUGGAAUUCAAACCGCGGUACGCGCAUGAAAAUGGGAUGCAGAUGGCGUCGAUGAAGUUGAAGAAGGAAGACAUGUGAAACGGGUGAAGAAAGGCCAACAUGAGGUAAUUCUAAAAGUAGAAACAGUAGAGGCAGGGGGUUAGGUAGUUGCAUCUCAAUAUAGAUGGAUUUGCUCAAUCCAGGUCAGUAGUUGCUGAAUAAACAGGGGAAAUAUGGAUGUCAUUGCAGGCACAUCCAAGAUGAAUAUGGUUUUUGAAAUCAUAGAUGGUUUUCCUUUCUAGGUGGUUGUCGACGGAGUUGUCAUCCUUAAACGAACUCC
rnacentral:lncRNA from 1 species